rnacentral:rRNA from 1 species
CCUACGGGAGGCAGCAGUGAGGAAUAUUGGUCAAUGGACGAGAGUCUGAACCAGCCAAGUAGCGUGAAGGAUGACUGCCCUAUGGGUUGUAAACUUCUUUUAUAUGGGACUAAAAUGUUCCACGUGUGGGAUUUUGUAUGUACCAUCUGAAUAAGGAUCGGCUAAAUCCGUGCCAGCAGCCGCGGUAAUACGGAGGGUCCGGGCGUUAACCGGAUUUAUUGGGUUUAAAGGGAGCGUAGGUGGAUUGUUAAGUCUGUUGUGAAAGUUUGCGGCUCAACCGUAAAAUUGCAGUUAAAACUGGCAGUCUUGAGUACAGUAGAGGUAGGCGGAAUUCGUGGUGUAGCGGUGAAAUGCUUAGAUAUCACGAAGAACUCCGAUUGCGAAGGCAGCUCACUGGGCUGCAACUGACACUGAGGCUCGAAAGUGUGGGGAUCAAACAGGAUUAGAUACCCGAGUAGUC